UGUAGAAGGAAGGGCUGCUGUG
rnacentral:miRNA from 1 species